rnacentral:lncRNA from 1 species
GUGCAAGAAAAAGGUGUGGUGAUGCCUAGAACAGGAAGGCUAUAGGACAUCUUCGAUAGGCUGCUGCUCCAACUUCAGAAGGAGUUCUGAAGCACUUCCAAAUCAGAUAGAGAUCUAAUUUUUUGAGCAUAGAUUCAUGAGGAGAAGAUGUUCAAGGUCCUGCCUAAGUGGAUAUCGAUAGAGGCCAGACGCUUAUGUGGCUACAUCAGAACCUCGAGGUGGGAUCAUAAAAGUUAAUAAUUGAUCAGCUAAUAGGAUUAAGUCUAA